AGCUUUUAUAAUUUAAAGUAAAAUAUUGGUCUUGUAAACCAAAAAUAAGAAAUCUUUAAAAGC
rnacentral:tRNA from 1 species